UUUUUUUUGUUACUGCAUCCUAUCUAACAGAUGGCAGCUUGGGUAAAAGUGGGUAAAAUUGUUAUUGAUCAGAUGUGUACUGGAUUUCCUGAGUUUGCCUUUACAUAUUUCUAAAAUUCCUGAGGCUAAAGAAGAAACAGGAGUGUUCAGAUUCUUCUUCCAAAGAGUUAAUGAAGCUACACAGCUCCUUUAACCCUGCUGAGAGUCAUUGAUCUGAUCUGGCUAGCCUGCAGGUUCACACAAAGGAGAUAGCUGGACAACAGCUGUUUUGUUAACAGCAGAGGACGGUUGGUUGCAGAAGAAAGGUGGAAGGUAGGAAUUUGAACUAUUUUCUACAAGGAGAGCUUUGCCAGAUUAUUUUCAACUGAUUCCAGUAAACCCCAGGAACACUGACUUGGAUGAGACAACUCAUGUGCGAUUCAGUAUCUUGUUCUAAGAAUGUAGUGUCAAUCCCCUGCUGGACACAGCCAAGUGGGUGAACAGUGAAGUCAUUAAAAAGGGAAAGAGCUUUGGAUAAUAAUAAAAAAAAAGACAGGUGAGUUCAAAGAGUUGUAUCCUUCGUUGGUGUGGAUUUUCACACUAUGGCACACAGAGGCUUCCUAGGAUGAGCAGAUGUAGAAUAAAGUCUUAGUGAAGAAUAAAACCUUAGUGGCAACAUCUAUCAUACUAUGUGAGCUGAGAAUAGCAGUUUCUGAAACCAUUAAAAAAUAACUGCAUGCCAGGACACUUUGGUAGAAGAAAUGCUAUGAUAAGACUGUGCCCCCGGCAUGGCUUCCCCUCAUCCUGCCCAUAGUCCAGGGCUCUGUGUCUGCCCCAGGGAACAUCAGGCCCUGCCCGAGCAAUGUUGUUUCAUUGUGCAAGAUAUUCAAGAAAUGUAUCCAUCCUGCCUUCAGCUAAUAAACAUACCUGUUUGAGUGUUUAACAAGCACACCAGGCAAAAAAAUAGUAGCUUAUUAAUUUUGCAACAAUGGAUACUGAUAUUUAUGAAGUAGACAAAUUAUUGCUUUUUUUUCAUCUUUAAUAUGCAUGUCCUGUCUUAAAUUUAGAUAAAAUUACCGCAUUCAUAUAGUUCAACCUGCUACUCAAAGCAGGGUUAGAUGAAAAUUGGAUCCAUCUGUGCUGGACCUUGUCUAGCUGAGUUUUGAAAGUUUCUAAGGUUGGAGAUUUCACAAUCCUUUUGAUGAUCUUAUUUCAGUAUUUAACUCUCUCAUUGUAAGAUUUCUUUUUUUAAAGUAAUGCAGUUUCAAAAUGGGAUGAUUUCAAAAGGUAAUGAAAAAGAAAACUGGAAAAAAACUGGGAAAAAUUAUUAAUUAAAACAAGUAUUUCAGUUAUACAUUUUCUCACUGUUCAUUU